GACGAACGCUGGCGGCGUGCUUAACACAUGCAAGUCGAACGCUGAAGCUCAGCUUUUGUUGGGUGGAUGAGUGGCGAACGGGUGAGUAACACGUGAGUAACCUGCCCCCUUCUUUGGGAUAACGCCCGGAAACGGGUGCUAAUACUGGAUAUUCACUGGUCUUCGCAUGGGGGUUGGUGGAAAGGGUUUUUCUGGUGGGGGAUGGGCUCGCGGCCUAUCAGCUUGUUGGUGGGGUGAUGGCCUACCAAGGCUUUGACGGGUAGUCGGCCUGAGAGGGUGACCGGUCACAUUGGGACUGAGAUACGGCCCAGACUCCUACGGGAGGCAGCAGUGGGGAAUAUUGCACAAUGGGCGCAAGCCUGAUGCAGCGACGCCGCGUGAGGGAUGGAGGCCUUCGGGUUGUGAACCUCUUUCGCUCAUGGUCAAGCCGCAACAAUGGUUGUGGUGAGGGUAGUGGGUAAAGAAGCGCCGGCUAACUACGUG
rnacentral:rRNA from 1 species